rnacentral:rRNA from 1 species
CGAACGGGUGAGUAACACGUGGGGCAACCUGCCCAAAAGAGGGGGAUAACACUUGGAAACAGGUGCUAAUACCGCAUAACCAUAGUUACCGCAUGGUAGCUAUGUAAAAGGUGGCUAUGCUACCGCUUUUGGAUGGGCCCGCGGCGCAUUAGCUAGUUGGUGGGGUAAAGGCUUACCAAGGCAAUGAUGCGUAGCCGAACUGAGAGGUUGAUCGGCCACAUUGGGACUGAGACACGGCCCAAACUCCUACGGGAGGCAGCAG